ACCCCGUUAGUCCCAGCCGGUAAACUAUGCGCGUUAGGUGUGCUGUAACUACGAGUACCGGGGUGCCGAAGUGAAAACGUGAAACGUGCCGCCUGGGAAGUACGGUCGCAAGGCUGAAACUUAAAGGAAUUGGCGGGGGAGCACCACAACGGGUGGAGCUGCGGUUUAAUUGGACUCAACGCCGGGCAGCUCACCGGAUAGGACAGCGGAAUGAUAGCCGGGCUGAAGACCUUGCUUGACCAGCUGAGAGGAGGUGCAUGGCCGUCGUCAGUUCGUACUGUGAAGCAUCCUGUUUAGUCAGGCAACGAGCGAGACCCACGCCAACAGUAGCUAGCAUGUUCUCCGGAAUGAUGAAGACAAAAAAAAAAACCGCCUCUGCUAAAGAGGAGGAAGGAAUGGGCAACGGUAGGUCAGCAUGCCCCGAAUUAUCCGGGCUACACGCGGGCUACAAUGGUCAGGACAAUGGGAAACGGCACUGAAAAGUGUAGUCAAUCUCCUAAACCUGUCCCAAGUUCGGAUUGUGGGCUGCAACUCGCCCACAUGAAGCUGGAAUCCGUAGUAAUCGCGUUUCAAAAUAGCGCGGUGAAUAAG
rnacentral:rRNA from 1 species